rnacentral:lncRNA from 1 species
AUGGAAUUAGGCUAUGUUGAUUCUAGUAUGGAAAAUGAAGACGACUUGGCAAGAGUUUUUAGUGCUUGUCCAUUGCCCUCCUCUGGUUUUCAGUUCUCUAACUGUACACAGCUUUCAGAAGAAAAUUUCAACACAAAACUAAUGGGCAAUGUUUGGGAACAGAUCUAUGAAAAAAAGCUGCAAAACCAGCCAGGUAACAGCUUUGAUCGAGACCCUUGGAAUACAAACCCUCCAAGCCAGUGUAUUUUGAGGAAGUCUGAUACAGUGCCUCAGGAGCUGUUCAAGCCAUUUGAUAACUCAUUGCCUACCCCCAGGCCAGACUACAUGAAUUCUGCCAGGAAAAAUCCAGUGAUAAUAGCCAGUAAUGAAUCAGAAAACUAUGAAGGAAUAAAAGAACCAAUAUUUGAUGUUGUGAAAGAAACUGCAGGAUUGAAAGAUGGAAGUGGUUGUUCCUUUCUGGCACUAUUUGAAGAAGAGAGUCAACCAAUCCAUAAUAAUUCUUCCACCAAGCAUUUUAAUUUUUUUUCUAACCAAAGGAAUAAUGACCUUUUUUUCACUGUUCCUGAUGUUCGAAAUCAAAUUACCAACAGAAAUUAUUCUUGCAACACUAGAAGGGUUUAUCCUGGAAUCAAUGCAAAAGAAGAUUCUGUAGACAGACACCUUGAAGGCAUUUUCACAGCUCCAGAACAGGUUUUCCUUAAAAGUAAUAAUGUGUCAAGUACAAGCUACAAGGAAACAAGUGCACUUCAUAAAACACACCGGCAGAACUGUCAUGAGGGACAGCACUACUUCGUGCCCUGUGAACAGAGAGAAAGAAGAGCAAACCUUGAAAAAAUUGAGACAUUUGCUUAUUACCAUGAUCAGCAGAAUAUCUUAAAGGAGAAUGUGCAGAAUUAUUCAAGAAAAAAAAGUGACGACAAGUCUGUGAAGGAAACAUCCUGGAACCAGAACCAUGUCUUUGUAUUUGAAGAGUUCACAACAGCACAAGAGAAAGGGUAUAAGUUUGGACUGAGUUCAUAUCUUCAAGAGAUGGAUGUGGACUCACCACUCAGCAGCCAGUCUUACAGUUACUCUCCAAGGCAGACUGAGAGCUGUUUGAGCUCUAGUCCUGACACAUCUGAAGAGGAAGACACAGCCAAAAAGAAGAAUUAUCUGAAUGAACAGUCCUUGAAGGCACGUGGUGCCAACCUGCUCUCAGCCUCAGUGAGCAGAGAGGCCCCCAAGAGCUCUCACACCCAAGGUGUGGGUAUGAAGCCCAGCAGCACUUUGGCUAGAAAAGAAGCAAACAAUCUUCAGGAGAAAGACUCUGAUUUUUGUGCCACAGAGGAGGAAAAUAAAACCCACGCAGCUCUGUCUCAGGGCCCAUCCCAGCACGCCCUUAGGAGGGAGCAUGUCGGUAGCAGCACCAGGUGCGAUGUGUGGUCGCAGACCGAGGGCUCUGUGACCGUAGAGAAGGUGGAUGUGGGCACCCAGUGCGGCACGCUGAGGGUGUGCGGCUGUGGGGGAUCGCUCCCCGCUGCCCGCAGCCCGGGCGGGGUCCCCGCUCCCGGCACUGCCGGAGAGCAGCAAUGGCCGGCGCGGGAGGGGCGGCAGCCCGCGGGCAGCGGCAGCGCCGCCGGGACAGGCGCCUUCUCUGCCGAGACCGAGUACCUGACUCUGGCUGGCAGCAGGACUCUAGAGGUGCUGGACUACAUUGAUAAAAUGAAGGGGGGAGAGAAGCAGUGAUCGACUGUAAUGGCACGUUAGGAACACGGUAGUUUUGUCCUGUUCUCAGUGUGUUUCAUUCAGUUGGCAUAUUCUGGUUUUUCUAGCAUGGGUAGGCAAAAGAUACUUUUACUGUUUGUUUGCUUUAACUAUCAAUAAUUAUGGGCUUCUGUCUACCUACUGCUAUCUCAAAGUAUGAGUUUCUAUAAAUAUCCAACUAUUAACAAAGUGUGUUACAAUAACCUAGUAAAUAAAAACAUUGGGAAUUAUAUUGUUUUCCCUGCC